rnacentral:rRNA from 1 species
UACAGGGGGGGCAAGCGUUGUUCGGAAUUACUGGGCGUAAAGGGCUCGUAGGUGGCCAACUAAGUCGGACGUGAAAUCCCUCAGCUUAACUGGGGAACUGCAUCCGAUACUGGAUGGCUUGAGUUUGGGAGAGGGAUGCGGAAGUUCCAGGUGUAGCGGUGAAAUGACGUAGAUAUCUGGAGGAACACCGGUGGCGAAGGCGGCAUCCUGGACCAACACUGACACUGAGGAGCGAAAGCCAGGGGAGCAAACGGG